AUAUUUACUCCCAGUGAGCUUUCAUUAUGUACACCAAAAGGUCAAAGUCAUUUAUUUUGUCUCCCACCCAAUAGGACGAAGUGGAGUUUAUUCUGCUGUCCUCUGAUAUUCCCACAUUUCUCACGCUCUCUCUCCGCCGCGCGUCUCCGCGCGCACGCAUGCGUCAAACCGGCAGCCCGCCACGAGGAGAUUUACAUCCUAUGUUUCUUCAGAUGCCACUGAAAUUAUUGUCAAAAAUAAAAAAAAGGAGCAUUUUUUUGGUGGGGGAAAUACCCCUCACCCCUCCCGACCUGCAGAACAAGAGGACGCCCCCGACUCUUUCCCAACACGAGCGCCGUCUGGAUUCCUGCAAUCCGCAGACCGCGAUUUUCGUCAGCAUCCACGAGGUAGAAUAAUGCAUGUUUCGGCGCAUUCUUCUGAAGUUUUUAAAUUAUGCCGUGUUAUCUUUCGCUCGACAGCCUAUUUGCAAUUCGAUAUGUGGCGUUUGUUGGCAGCCACAUAUGCACCGGCUUCGUUUUGAGAUCAAUGAAUUAGAUAGCCAGGGAAUUAUUUUAGGGGCUGAGCCUCACGAGAAGAGGGGGGGGUGAUAGGGUUCUUAUUUAAAAAAAGAAAACGAUUGUCUAAUAAACGCACGCCCGGAAGUUCCCUCGACAAUUAAACGAGAUAAUGAGAAAUGCUAAAGGUUUCCAUUUGUCAAGGAUUGAGUUAUAUAUUUAUUUUUCCAGCUGCAGCUUCUCUUCAUUCCGUGUCAAAUAUAAUCGUGAGGACAUUUGACAUGGAUAUAUUGUUUGACAUACAACGCUAAAAAAUAUAUGAUUUGGGCUAAAUCAAAUAUGUUUAAAAAAACAAAAACAUGCAGCUUAAAACUUCUCUCAACCUCCAAACUAAAGGCAUGCACGUGAAAUGAUUGCAUCGUCAUAGCAAACAGAGAGCAAAAAAAAGGGAACGAGGAGAAUAAGAGAGACAACAACAUGUAAUGUCAUGUAAUUCAACGGUGUAUUUCAGGUUCAUGGGGUUUUGAACACACUGUUAAAGGAAAAGCUCAGUAAAAAUAUUCUAAGAACAAUGGCUGGUGAAAAGGUGCAUUCCGAUCCAUUAAAAUACCCCAAAUGACCCAUUGUGAUAAAUAAUACAUUCCAAAUGACACAGGAAAAGUGGCACGUAUUCGGGGUGCCCUCGGCCCAGCCCUCCCGUUACGCACGCACGCGGGCACACGCGCCUGCACGCGCGCGCACACACACACACACAUAAGCACACAAAACUCGGAUUAACUAAGGACACAUGUCCAUCCAUCUCGCGUUAAAAAGUGAAUGGGGAGCGGCCUGACACACAGAGAGCCUAUUAGCCAACUGGGGCUCCCGCGGAGCGCAUUGAGGUAAGCUCCCCCAGCGGAACUGUCCAUGGUGCUGGAGCGGUAAGAGGGUUUCUUCACUGCACACGUGCGUCCUCCCUCAAAAACUCAAAAGAGCUAGGGUUGACAUUUCAAUGCCUUUCAUUGUAUUUCCAUCCCAUUUAGUGAUGGUUCUGUGACAAAAUCUAUAUUGGAAAGACACAGCUCACUUUCCUAACUUUUCUUUUUCAUCAGCAGUAUGUUUUUAAGCCAAUUUCUUCAUAGUGUGAAAGAACUAUUCCAUGUUUGGAACUAAUAUCUUUUUUUUAUCAUGAAUUAAAAUAAACACCUUUCUUAUGUUGCCCAACUCUCUGUCAAUUGCAAAAGUUUGAGCAGGGGCUUCAUAGCACGUGCCUUGUGUGUAGCAUUGCCUAUUGAGUUGAUUGUUAUUUACAAGAUGGAUUGUUAUUAGCGCUGACUGUGGUCUUUAUUAUUUACAGAUUAUAUUGGAGAUAAUACAACUCACAAACUAAACUUUAAAAACAACACGACAACAAAGUGCCCAAACCAUGUGCUCCUGGGUUGAAGGUUUACUGGUAUUUGUACCAUGCAGUAAUUAGCCAGCACCUGGCUUUGCUUUUAAAUGAUUCCACAGACCUAUUACAGUUUUCCAACUACCUUUUGAAAAUAUCAUAUGCUCUACCUUAAUUUUUAACUAAUUCUGACAGAAAUGAGAAUGAUCAAGACAAUUACGGAGAUACAGUGUUAACUUGCAGUGCUCAAUAUUUAGAAUGUUUUUCCGAUCUUUUCUUACAUUUUUCAACAAAAGUUACUGUAAUGCACUCAUUGAGGAGAAUAGUCGGGACCGUCAGUCAGCCCUCCAAGUCACUAUACUCAGUAUUCUUUUUGAGAAAACUUUAUUUUCUAUUUUUAAAAUAGAAAUAUUUAUCCUUAAUUAAAUUAAACUGUAUUUCGACUUUGAAAACAUUUAAAACUCAAAUUCAGCUCAUUAUACUAAAUAGUAUUCAUUAACAAUAAGAAGAAAUCGCAAAAGCAAUGAGCAGUAUGUGAGACGUAAUGCCAACAUGGGGUAUAUAUUACAGAAAACAUCCAACUACAUAUCAUAUCUUUGUGGUUACAUUUUUUCAGUAAGAUAGAAGUCUGUCUUGAAUAAAGUCUUUUAAAAUGACUAACCUUAAGCUGCUCUUUUUUUAUUCUGCAACACUGGAUGGUACAAAGCAGAACGGAAUUCAUUUUUUUGACAAAGGUUCAAGGCAUCGGGCAAUAAUGAAAGGAUAGGGGCGAUACUUCAAAGACCACAAGGUGCACAUCACACAAUUAUACAAUACAAUUAGGAUUAAAAGGGGCAAAGGAGAUAAGAGGAGAUAGGGAUAUAUUAUCACAAAAGGAAAGAUGUGACUCUCUCCUGACCUUCAUUAAGAGGGAAAAAAACUCAUUUAGAGCUGGCCUUCCUUGCAGGGGGAUUUGAGCCUUUUGCAUGAGACUGCGACUCCCUAGAUAAGAUUUGCAGAGUAUAACUGAGAAUCCACUAAACAAUAACAACAUGCAUGUCCAGAAAAAGAUAAUACAAUAAAUAGUCCUUCACAGGUUUGUAUAAAUUGCAGAUAAAUGUAUUUAGAUAGUUGCUAUGUAAACAGACUAAUUUUUGACAGUUUCUUGGUCACAACACACAAAUAUGCUGUAUAUAUGUACUGUAUAACCUUAUUCCCCGUAGCCACAAUACUUUCAGUGUCCCCACCAACAAUACAACAUAUUUAGAAAAGUUGGAGAGGAGUUGGAUAGACAUCAAGAGGAUACAAGAAGACCCAUCUUGUCUUCACCGACUUUUAUUUUUCCUACAUGACAUCUGCUUAAUGCCGAUCAUGUAUCGGUAGUGUGAUUAUCAAAUUUGUUUUCAUCUGCAUGAACAACAUCCUAAUCACUCAUUGGCUCUCCAAAGAUUGGCAUGUCUCUGUAAGGUUGUCUACGGUCUGAGAGCAGAGUAAAGAUGAUUCAGACUACAUUAAUGUGAUGUCUGGUGAAUAGAACUACUCAACAAAAAAUGGUACUUAACCACAGUGUUCUCACUCCCAACUCAUCACAAGCUCAGUCCGCAGCUUCAAACAAGGUCUAGUAUCAGUUUUACACGUGUUGGGGACAGCGUGUCAGUUAUCACUCAUCACAUGCAUAGUGAUAUUGGAAUGCGCCAUCAGAUUGUUACUUAAAUUGUUCACACGUUUCUACGCAAUGAAAAUAAAAGGGUUUAAUUCUCUUUUUUUCUUCGUUUUUAGUGCUUUUACUCAACCCUAUAUAUGAAGUACAGGGGGACACAGAGAGCAUCUGGUGUCCUAAAAUGGCACUAUACUCCCUCCCGUAAUAGUUAAUCUAAACUCCUCCCUGUCCUUUGUUUGGAGGUGGAUGCCUCCAAUGUGGAAUAAAGUUUCUCCACUAAAGACCAUCUCCCAAGGUUCAGAAAAACCAUCCUUGUGCCUUUUUUCCUCUUCUUAAAUCUGCUAAACCAAACUAGGAAAUCAGUGGUGGGUGCUGCAGACUAUGCAAGAGGAAGAACAGAACCACUGGCUUACCCCAGAAAAGCAGCCUCCAUCCAGACAGUAAAGGCCAGACUAUCAGCGAGCCAAUUCCACCUUAGUCUCACACGGUCCAAUUAUCAGAAAUAUGAUUUGUUACCCGACCUCAACCACAGGUGGACAAACUCAAUUCAAUCAAUGGCUCCUCUGUUAUCUUAGUUUUCGUUGCAAACAUUCGUUCUUUCUUCGAUGACAUUCAUUGGAAACAAAUAGUUUCUGUCUCGGCCCGAUGUGGAAUCAUAAAGGUCUCACACAGGUUUUCUGCCAUCUGGAAGACAACAACAUCAUCUCAUGCACAGCUUCUAAUUUAGUCCAGUACCUUAACCUCUCUCCUGCGAACGAAGAAGAACAACCCAUGACCAGUCACAUCUUCUACCUGCAUUUGUAUGCAAUAUCAAAUGCAUCGGGUCCUCGAUGAUGGUUUCUUGCGCUCCUUGUCAAUCUAACCUCCCAUAUCUUUCCCCCAUCUAGUAGCAGAUGGGACACUUCAACAAGAGCCCUGAGGGUACCCAUCACUUCCUGAUGUCCAGCAAUCAACACUCUGAGACAUCAACUCUAUCAACUCUAGUACUUCUAGAUCUCUCUUUGUGUUGUCAUUCAUGGGUUGGAGAAAGAAGUUCAUACGGGACAUUGUCUGCUUUAGUUUUUUCGCUCAACUUGAAUUAUUUUUUAUCCUUGCUUGCACACCUUGGGUGCAGCUCCUAUCACCAACUUCCAAUGGAAUCAUCCAAAGCAAACUAUGGACAUCAAACUGUUUGCAAGAACAACACCGUGCUUGGGAGAAGGCGCUCUAUGAUUACUGUGCCCAGGAACAUACCUGUAGCUCUGUCUUCCUCCUCUCUAACCGAGAGGAAGUUAAUACUGAAGACAUAGAGGUCAACAGAUUUGUGGGUGAAUAAAGAGUUAUGAAAAGAGUUGUCAAAUCCAGAGAUGGGAUAAUCUUUUAAGAUAAUUUAAGAUCUAUAUAGUCUACAUUAUUAUUGUAUUAAUCAGUGUAAAGCCUUUGGAAGCAUGAGGUAAUUAAACAAAUGCUGUCAUAGCUGAUGAAAUGACGAUGUACACAAUUGAACUCAUACAACAGCCGGCUCUCAACUGUGAUGUUAUUCAAUCUUAUGCUACAUUCUGUAUUUGGAGCUAUUCUGAAAUGUAAUAACAGCUGUUCCUUUAAAGUAUUAUGACACAUUUAUACCCACUCAUUAACUCUCAUUAUGGCCCACAGCCAUAUCUCAUCAGUGGACAUAAUUGGUCGACUGGAGUCCGUCCCAGCACGGACACCCUACACUUUAUUAUAAAUAUGACAUGGAAUAUUGUGAGAUAUAAGUGAGUUUUGAUUAAUUUGGUUAUGAAACAGUGUAGACACACAUUUGGAAAUGUUGCAUUUACUAGGAAAGCACAUAUUUAUGCAACAAACUCUUUUCAUCUCCUACCAACAGGGCCAACAGUGCCUCCACCGAGUGUGAGACCCGAUCCUCGAGACGUGCACACAGCUUCAGCCAGGAUUUGCAGUUGAGAGGUGGUACAAACAGCUGCUUUAGGAAUCGGAGCUGGACUGUAGGUAUUGUAAAACCGACAGACAACUCAAAUAUGAAGUAACGUAAAAGAGACAGUUGAAGAACGUAAAAGCUUUUGAGGUCAGAGCGACUGAUGGGAGAAAAAAAAAUACAAAUCUGUAUCAGCAAAUGAUUAAUUAAUUUUAGUUGAAUGAUCUGCUUUUGCAUUGCAAGAUACCAGUUCCCAUUUCUUUUGCACUUUUACAGAAGAUCUCAAGAGACCGCCAGUUCAAAAGACGGUUCAAUUUAAGAGUUCCCAUCGGAAAUGGUUUCAGAAAGUCUUUGCCAUACGUUGGCGCUUUGAUGUGUUUUAACUAUCGUAAUCUUGCUGUUCAGCGAUGGGAUAAUAAAUUAUGUUCAUUAUUCCACCGUAUGUGCUCUCUCUUUUUUGACUUCACAUUACAUUUAACAUUCGCUGCAAAAAUAUGAAAAUAUUACCAUAGAAAUGAGAAUGUGGAACAUAGAUCUAGUUGCAUUUGCUGCAUCAUAGUGAGAGUAUAUGAAACAAAUUAGUUUGUGAUAGUAUAUACACAGUAUAUAGUAUAUAAUGAUUAUGAUAUUUCAAAGAACAGCCAGACUAUUUGGUAAAAACUGACCUUUCUCCUGAAAGACAGUGGUUUUGAUUGGAUCAUAGCGAUCUAUUAGUCCAUCGGGUUUGACCCCCAUCGUGUCACAGUUGGAAGGUGACUCCAUGUCAUAGAGUCAAAGGAUGUCCUUUGAACUCGCUAGGUCAUUUAUUAAUAAAAGAAAAGAUUGAUUUUGUGUCAUAAGAAUCCUUUUCAGUUUUUUUCCUAACUAGCAGUCGUCUUUGGCUUACGUUGUGACCUACACGUUGCUUUCUAUCAAGUGUCACAUUUAGAUAUAUAUGCAUUCGCAGGUAAAUCUCUGAUAGCUGUCUAUUCAAAAGCAAACAAAACUUGAAAAGAGGAUAUAACCUCAACUCAGAACUCUGGAGGGGUGGACUAAGAUUGAAAUUGGUCCGACUCUUUCUCUCUCUCUCUCUCUCCCUCUCUCUCUCCCCCCCUCUCUUUCUCCCUCUCUUGAAUUGAGGGUCCAUUGUUGUGCGUCAAACAAAAGCUUUUUAUCACAGGCUCUUAAUGUAACCCCGUCUCCUCACUCUCACGGCCACCAACUCGUUCUCCUCUUCCUCUCUUUUCUCAUUCAUUUAUUCCACUGUGUGUGGAAAUAGGCUGGGCAACAAUUAAUUUCAGAGUGAAUUCAGGCAGGAUCUAUUACCCCUCUCUGCCUCUAUUGCUCUAAUGGAAAUCUAUUUCACUUCUCUUUUGUGUCCAAUAUAAUUUAAUGCCCAUUUUAUUAAUGGCCUGAAAUAAUUACGGAAGGCUUUUGUGAUUCUUGAGUAUGUUUCAUUUAAUUGUGUAAUAAAUGUCUAAUCAGGGCUCCCAUCUGAAGCCAUUAUGGCAUUAAAAUUAACAAUUACGCCACAAAUGUCUUGGUGAAUGCGUUGGGGUCUAUAGAAAUCGUUGCUGAUAACAAGACACAUAUAAAUCAUUCAUGAGAAUUUUUUUUCAGAGAAAAGCGGAGUGAGAGAUAGGAGGGUGGGAGGGAGAAAAAAAGAAAGUGGGGGAAGAAAAGAGGAGAAGAAAGAGGCUGAGUUUUCUUUAUUCCAUUGAAAAACCGGGGAUGGCCAAACGAUAGGGCAUUUUAAAACUGUGUCACCCUCUCCAGUUCCUUUCUUCCCCCGUCUCUCUCUAUCUCCCUUUAAUUUGCCUUCCUCUUUAUUUUUGAAGUGACAGAUUUCACUUUGGGAAUUCAUUAACCGUUAACUUGGGCGAUAAAAUAUCUAUCAGGCCCUCUGCCCGGUUCCUUUGCUAAGCUGCGUGGCGCUCCGGUUCAUCGUUGUGGGUGACCGAAGGCAAUUAAAGAGGCUUCACACUCCCUCACUCCCCCAGUGUCACUUCCUCAGUGAAAACAGGAAGGCUGCUCAACGUACCAGCAAGAAUUGUUUUCUUAGUAGCCAAGUAUACAAAUUUCAUGGUGUGGGGAAACUCCAUCUGCUGCAAGAAACCCUCGUCAGUUCCUCUGUGUCAUUUCGAAGCUAAUAUACUACAAUUGGUUUUGGUGAAUCUAUUUUAGCAGCAUAAGGUUUUGGCCUUCUUUGUUCUCUAUUACCAUGAUGCACAAAGGGCCUCCCGGGGCAAUGGAUUGGACCUUGGUCCCAACCAGACUCUUUCAAGUGACUUAAUCAAGUGCCUUUGAUGUCGAUGACAUCACUUGUUAAUAAGAGGGCCGAUUUUAUUCUCGAUCCAACAUCCAUUUUUUGAAUUGCGCAAUCUUGGAUAAGUUGGUUGAUAUGAGCCGUCUCUGACUCUGCCUCCUUUCUGCUGCUGGAGUUCCAAUGAUUCAGCCACUGGUUAGUCAACUAGGCCAGCUCCAGCCUCGGACAAAUGUGUUCAUGCUAAAUGUUUCCGUUGCUCAUAUGCACUGCCGAUCUAAGAGCUGUACGUCCAGCUUUUUAAGAUAAAAAGAAAAUGUGAGAUGUAUUGUACGAGGCUCGUACAUUCAUGACAAGUUCAUCUGUAAUUCUAUGUAUUGUAUAUUGAUCAUUUCUUUGUUUUGUUCUUAAACGUGGAACCUUCACUGUCAAUGACGCAUUUUAACCACUUAUAUAAUAAUGUAAAAUCUUUAUAAGUCUUGAUAACAGAAACAGCAGAACUUUGCAAGCAAACUACUUUGCUGUUCAGCCAAGCUGUCUUAUAACGGCCCAAAGCCUCUUGUGAUUAGUUAUCUUUAAAAGGUCGUGUCCUGAUAUUAGAAGAAUUCCUUAAUCGUUCAGAAUGAUUCUUCAGUACAUUAUAGAAAAACUAAUAACCCAGUUUAUGGGCUAAUGUCGGCCCACAUGGAACAAUAGAUCCAACUUACUGGAGAUUUCUUUCCCAGGAAUGCCAUAGAUUUUUUGAUUGAUGAAUGCAUUGAUAUAUGCAGUAUACAUAUCAGGAACCACUGAAUGCCCCAUUAAGGCAUACUUUAAAAAAGAUAACGAUACCGAUAAAAAAAUAAGAACUAGAGGCAAAUUCUAAUUCAAACUCAAUGAAUUCACGGAAAGAAGAGCAAACCCGCACAGGCCCUCAGAGAGAGAAAUGACAAACUGAACACAAAUCACUUCAACCAUCUCAGCUAUUUACUACAUUUCUCCCUAUUAGGGCUUCUUUUGUUGAAACAGAUCUCCUAUACAAUUAUGCAUUUAACUGAUGUGCAAAUUAACCUUGGCAUUUUUACAAAAGCACUUGUGUCCACGCCUUCAACCCCCUUCUUCUUCCAACCAAUUUAAUUCCAAGCUCCAGAUUUCAUGGUAAAUUUUAUCUCCCUCACACUCAAAGACUCCAUCAUCAAUUCUUCGCAACUUUUCUUGUCCCCUUUCUCUGCAGAUUCACUGCGAAAAUUGGCCAUUCAGGUUAUCAAAUAACCGUGACCGCUAUAAUUCUACGGCAACACCCGUUGCUUUGAAUAUGCAUCGGGAAGGCUGACCUGCAGCGGCAAUUAGUCUCUGUUUAUCCUUCACACAAAUCACACAGCUCCUGCUGUUCUUUCUUUCACGCUCUUUUUUUUCAGCUGAGUAAGAGGACUGAAACAGCCAGGAAGUCAAUCCUCACUUAAAGCCAACUCCACCUCUUUAAUUCAUGCUCUGGUGAAAUCAUGAUAUAAAUAUAGUUAAAGGCACAUUUCAAGCAACAGUAGAUGAACAGCUCAGUUGGCUGUCAUUUUUUCUCACCAGAUUUCAGUCAUGUUGAAUUUGCACAUUUGCGCAUGUAUAGAAAAAUGGAAAUGGCCACAGAGAAUAAGAGGAACCAAGGAAGUGUAACAACAACAGCGUCUGCCAAAAAGCUUGGUUUCCUGACAUUAUAGGCAAGUUCCUGAGCGAUGCUCAUCAUCCCCAGAGGAGAAGCCUCCCUGUUAGCUGCGCAAAAAAAGGUCUGUGUGUUUAUGGAUCACGAUGGGCUGUAAUGUCAUCAGCUUGAUACACAUUUAGAGAUGCAGGGAGCGACUUUGCAACAGCUGAUGGGGAUGUCGCACUUUGGACGGAAG
ensembl:lncRNA